rnacentral:rRNA from 1 species
UAGGGAAUCUUCCGCAAUGGACGAAAGUCUGACGGAGCAACGCCGCGUGAGUGAAGAAGGAUUUCGGUUCGUAAAACUCUGUUGUUAGGGAAGAAAAAAUGUAUAGUAACUAUAUACAAAAGAGACGGUACCUAACCAGAAAGCCACGGCUAACUACGUGCCAGCAGCCGCGGUAAUACGUAGGUGGCAAGCGUUGUCCGGAAUUAUUGGGCGUAAAGCGCGCGCAGGUGGUUUAGAAAGUCUGAUGUGAAAGCCCACGGCUCAAACGUGGAGGGUCAUUGGAAACUAAUAAACUUGAGUGCAGGAGAGAAAAGUGGAAUUCCUAGUGUAGCGGUGAAAUGCGUAGAGAUUAGGAGGAACACCGGUGGCGAAAGCGGCUUUUUGGCCUGCAACUGACACUGAGGCGCGAAAGCGUGGGGAGCAAACAGG